CUUAUUCCCGGGGAAUAACAGCAUAGACCACAACACAGAAAAAAGUUUUUGUUUUGCUGAGGACUAACAAGGCAUGGGGAAAAGAAAGAAGCGCCAUGGCACUAGCCCAGGAUCUCUCCCACCAGUGAAGACUGCAAAACAACCAAGAAUUGAGGAGCACUUUGCUGGCAAGAGAUCUGUAAGUAAAACUAACCCCCCCUCCAUUUCCAACAAUCCUGAGAAGUUAGAACGGGACCUGCAAAGAGAUCUGACAAAAUAGCAGAUAUUAGACUUUCCUGAUCUAGUGGGGGAGGAGCAAAAUGACUGUCAGAUUUUUUCACAAACAACUAAGCCAGUUACAGCUGAUAUGGAGACUGUGAUAAAGACUAAAAAGAUUAAUAAUAAUCUAACUCAAGGUGAGGAGAGCUUAUACAACAGAGUUUAUGGCAAAACAAUGCCUUCUCACAGCACAAAUGGUUGUCUCAAUAUUUGAACAAUUAAUAACCAUCCAACACGAUGUAGAGACAUUAAAAAAAGAUAUCGCUGUCUUUCUGCAAGCACAGCAUCGGGCUACAGACCCCACCACCAACGUGCUUACAGCAGACCUGGGUAAAUCCCAUACUCAGGAUAUGGAAGAAGAAAAAGAGCAAAGACCCAGGGAAACAGUUAAAAAAACCUGUUAAAAAGUGGCAGCCCUCUCAGAAAAACAGCCCUUCUCCAGACAAGGCAACAAGAGGAAGAGGUAUCGAUAGAGAAGUUUCAUUGGAAGUCAGGAAAGCAUCUCCCC